GAUGAAGAACGCAGCGAAAUGCGAUACGUAAUGUGAAUUGCAGAAUUCAGUGAAUCAUCGAGUCUUUGAACGCACAUUGCGCCCCCUGGUAUUCCGGGGGGCAUGCCUGUCCGAGCGUCAUUGCUGCCCUCAAGCACGGCUUGUGUGUUGGGCCUCCGUCCUCCUCCCGGGGGACGGGCCCGAAAGGCAGCGGCGGCACCGCGUCCGGUCCUCGAGCGUAUGGGGCUUCGUCACCCGCUCUUGUAGGCCCGGCCGGCGCUUGCCGACACAUCAAUCUUUUUUCCAGGUUGACCUCGGAUCAGGUAGGGGUACCCGCUGAACUUAAGCAUAUCAAUAAGCGGAGGA
rnacentral:misc_RNA from 1 species